rnacentral:snRNA from 1 species
UGAUAUGAGGGCGAUCUGGUUGCAACAUCUGUCACCCCAUUGAUUGCCAGGGUUGAUUUGACUGAUCUGGCUGGCUAGGCGGGUGUCCCCUUCCUCCCUCUCUGCUCCUUGGGAGUCCCUCCCCAAGCUGUGUGCUCGGUGGAAGAGGACAACGUCCCAGGUAUAGAAGGAGUGCACCGAGGUCUCCAGUCUUCGGUCCUGGGUAUACGAUAGCUGCGCUCCCCUGUUACAACCUCCAAACAAGCUUGCUUACAGAAAAGUCAUGGAGCUGUCUGACACAUUUUUGGAACAAGAAAUUUCCAAAUUUUUGGCAAGAAUU